UCAUGACGAACGCUGGCGGCGUGCCUAAUACAUGCAAGUCGAGCGGUCGAUUCAAAAGCUUGCUUUUGAAUCGUUAGCGGCGGACGGGUGAGUAACACGUGGGCAACCUGCCCUGUAGACGGGGAUAACACCGAGAAAUCGGUGCUAAUACCGGAUAACACGGAAGACCGCAUGGUUUUUCGUUGAAAGGCGGCGCAAGCUGUCGCUACAGGAUGGGCCCGCGGCGCAUUAGCUAGUUGGUGAGGUAACGGCUCACCAAGGCGACGAUGCGUAGCCGACCUGAGAGGGUGAUCGGCCACACUGGGACUGAGACACGGCCCAGACUCCUACGGGAGGCAGCAGUAGGGAAUCUUCCGCAAUGGACGAAAGUCUGACGGAGCAAUGCCGCGUGAGCGAAGAAGGCCUUCGGGUCGUAAAGCUCUGUUGUUAGGGAAGAACAAGUACCGCAGUCACUGGCGGUACCUUGACGGUACCUAACGAGAAAGCCACGGCUAACUACGUGCCAGCAGCCGCGGUAAUACGUAGGUGGCAAGCGUUGUCCGGAAUUAUUGGGCGUAAAGCGCGCGCAGGCGGUUCCUUAAGUCUGAUGUGAAAGCCCACGGCUCAACCGUGGAGGGUCAUUGGAAACUGGGGGACUUGAGUGCAGAAGAGGAGAGCGGAAUUCCACGUGUAGCGGUGAAAUGCGUAGAGAUGUGGAGGAACACCAGUGGCGAAGGCGGCUCUCUGGUCUGUAACUGACGCUGAGGCGCGAAAGCGUGGGGAGCAAACAGGAUUAGAUACCCUGGUAGUCCACGCCGUACACGAUGAGUGCUAAGUGUUAGAGGGUAUC
rnacentral:rRNA from 1 species